rnacentral:rRNA from 1 species
UGGGGAAUAUUGCACAAUGGGGGAAACCCUGAUGCAGCGACGCCGCGUGAACGAAGAAGGUAUUCGUAUCGUAAAGUUCUGUCCUAUGGGAAGAUAAUGACAGUACCAUAGAAGAAAGCUCCGGCUAAAUACGUGCCAGCAGCCGCGGUAAUACGUAUGGAGCGAGCGUUGUCCGGAAUUAUUGGGCGUAAAGGGUACGCAGGCGGUUUAAUAAGUCGAAUGUUAAAGAUCGGGGCUCAACCCCGCAAAGCAUUGGAAACUGAUAAACUUGAGUAGUGGAGAAGAAAGUGGAAUUCCUAGUGUAGUAGUGAAAUACGUAGAUAUUAGGAGGAAUACCAGUAGCGAAGGCGACUUUCUGGACACAAACUGACGCUGAGGUACGAAAGCGUGGGGAGCAAACAGG